UACGAAGGGGCUAGCGUUGCUCGGAAUCACUGGGCGUAAAGCGCACGUAGGCGGAUUGCUAAGUCAGGGGUGAAAUCCUGGAGCUCAACUCCAGAACUGCCUUUGAUACUGGCGACCUUGAGUCCGGGAGAGGUGAGUGGAACUGCGAGUGUAGAGGUGAAAUUCGUAGAUAUUCGCAAGAACACCAGUGGCGAAGGCGGCUCACUGGCCCGGUACUGACGCUGAGACGCGAAAGCGUGGGGAGCAAACAGG
rnacentral:rRNA from 1 species